UUAGGUAGUUGGUGAGGUAAUGGCUCACCAAGCUGACGAUCUGUAGCUGGUCUGAGUAGGAUGGAUCUAGCCUACACUGGGACUGAGACACGGCCCAGACGUCCUACGGGAGGCAGCAGUCGGGGAAUAUUGGACAAUGGGCGAAAGCCUGAUCCAGCAAUACCGAGUGAGUGAUGAAGGCCUUAGGGUUGUAAAGCCUCUUUUAGCAGGGAAGAUAAUGACGUUACCUGCAGAAAAAGCCCCGGCUAACUCCGUGC
rnacentral:rRNA from 1 species